AUUGAACGCUGGCGGAAUGCUUUACACAUGCAAGUCGAGCGGCAGCGCGGCCUUCGGGCUGGCGGCGAGCGGCAAACGGGUGAGUAAUGCAUCGGAACAUGCCCAGUCGUGGGGGAUAACACUUCGAAAGGAGUGCUAAUACCGCAUACGUCCUGAGGGGGAAAGCGGGGGAUCGCAAGACCUCGCGCGAUUGGAGUGGCCGAUGUCAGAUUAGCUAGUUGGUGGGGUAAAGGCCUACCAAGGCGACGAUCUGUAGCUGGUCUGAGAGGAUGAUCAGCCACACUGGGACUGAGACACGGCCCAGACUCCUACGGGAGGCAGCAGUGGGGAAUUUUGGACAAUGGGGGCAACCCUGAUCCAGCCAUUCCGCGUGAGUGAAGAAGGCCUUCGGGUUGUAAAGCUCUUUCGGCAGGAACGAAACGGUGGGCUCUAACAUAGUCCGCUAAUGACGGUACCUGAAGAAGAAGCACCGGCUAACUACGUG
rnacentral:rRNA from 1 species